UCUAAUACCGGAUACGACCACCGACCGCAUGGUCUGGUGGUGGAAAGCUCCGGCGGUGAAGGAUGAGCCCGCGGCCUAUCAGCUUGUUGGUGGGGUAAUGGCCUACCAAGGCGACGACGGG
rnacentral:rRNA from 2 species